rnacentral:misc_RNA from 1 species
UGGUGGUGGUGACUUAUACUCAUAUUGAGGUUUAGGAGAAGGUGGUGGUGGGGAUUUGUACUCAUAAGGUGGAGGAGGAGAAGGAGAAGGUGGAGGAGGGGACUUAUAUUCAUAAGGAGGAGGAGGUGGAGAAUAAUAAGAAUAAGCAUCCCCAUAAACUGAACCUACACUGUUUGAAACAAGAACCAGAGCCAAUGCCACAGCCAAUUGAGGCCAAAGACGGCCCCUGGUGGGGCCGCCACCAGAACUGGUCAUUUCUCGCCGGAAAAUUCAACCCCUUCUCACCAAUUUGUCAGACUGAGCCCCCUUAAGUCUCUUAAUCAGAGUGGAGGAUGUGGUGGCGAAAGUAUUUAGUGAGGUUUGGUUUGUGUUCCG